UAAAUAUCAAGAAGUGCUGAGGGAACUGACCCGGUGACGCACUACCAACCUGUCCUAUUUUGGAAAAAGGUGGUUCAUUCAGCCCCAAAUGGGGAAAGAUAUGGC
rnacentral:ncRNA from 2 species